rnacentral:rRNA from 1 species
CAGUCGCCACGGUAAUACGUAGGUGGCAAGCGUUGUCCGGAAUUAUUGGGUGUAAAGGGAGCGUAGACGGUUAAACAAGUCUGAAGUGAAAUGCCGGGGCUCAACCCCGGAGCUGCUUUGGGAACUGUAGAACUGGAGUGUCGGAGGGGUAAGCGGAAUUCCCAGUGUAGCGGUGAAAUGCGUAGAUAUUGGGAGGAACACCGGCGGCGAAGGCGGCUUACUGGACGACAACUGACGUUGAGGCUCGAAGGCGUGGGUAGCAAACAGGAUUAGAGACCCGAGUAGUCCCUGUCUCUUAACA